GACGUAGGAGGCGAGCGUUAUCCGGAUUCACUGGGCGUAAAGCGCAUGUAGGCGGCUGGACAAGUCGUGUGUUAAAGCCCCUGGCUCAACUGGGGGAGGUCAUGCGAGACUGUACGGCUGGAGGGCAACAGAGGCACGUGGAACUCCCGGUGUAGCGGUGGAAUGCGUAGAGAUCGGGAAGAACACCAGAGGCGAAGGCGACGUGCUGGGUUGCACCUGACGCUGAGAUGCGAAAGUGUGGGGAGCAAACGGG
rnacentral:rRNA from 1 species